AUGAACGCCGGCGGUGUGCCUAAUACAUGCAAGUCGAACGCGUUGGCCCAAUUGAUUGAUGGUGCUUGCACCUGAUUGAUUUUGGUCGCCAACGAGUGGCGGACGGGUGAGUAACACGUAGGUAACCUGCCCAGAAGCGGGGGACAACAUUUGGAAACAGAUGCUAAUACCGCAUAACAGCGUUGUUCGCAUGAACAACGCUUAAAAGAUGGCUUCUCGCUAUCACUUCUGGAUGGACCUGCGGUGCAUUAGCUUGUUGGUGGGGUAACGGCCUACCAAGGCGAUGAUGCAUAGCCGAGUUGAGAGACUGAUCGGCCACAAUGGGACUGAGACACGGCCCAUACUCCUACGGGAGGCAGCAGUAGGGAAUCUUCCACAAUGGGCGCAAGCCUGAUGGAGCAACACCGCGUGAGUGAAGAAGGGUUUCGGCUCGUAAAGCUCUGUUGUUAAAGAAGAACACGUAUGAGAGUAACUGUUCAUACGUUGACGGUAUUUAACCAGAAAGUCACGGCUAACUACGUGCCAGCAGCCGCGGUAAUACGUAGGUGGCAAGCGUUAUCCGGAUUUAUUGGGCGUAAAGAGAGUGCAGGCGGUUUUCUAAGUCUGAUGUGAAAGCCUUCGGCUUAACCGGAGAAGUGCAUCGGAAACUGGAUAACUUGAGUGCAGAAGAGGGUAGUGGAACUCCAUGUGUAGCGGUGGAAUGCGUAGAUAUAUGGAAGAACACCAGUGGCGAAGGCGGCUACCUGGUCUGCAACUGACGCUGAGACUCGAAAGCAUGGGUAGCGAACAGGAUUAGAUACCCUGGUAGUCCAUGCCGUAAACGAUGAGUGCUAGGUGUUGGAGGGUUUCCGCCCUUCAGUGCCGGAGCUAACGCAUUAAGCACUCCGCCUGGGGAGUACGACCGCAAGGUUGAAACUCAAAGGAAUUGACGGGGGCCCGCACAAGCGGUGGAGCAUGUGGUUUAAUUCGAAGCUACGCGAAGAACCUUACCAGGUCUUGACAUCUUGCGCCAACCCUAGAGAUAGGGCGUUUCCUUCGGGAACGCAAUGACAGGUGGUGCAUGGUCGUCGUCAGCUCGUGUCGUGAGAUGUUGGGUUAAGUCCCGCAACGAGCGCAACCCUUGUUACUAGUUGCCAGCAUUAAGUUGGGCACUCUAGUGAGACUGCCGGUGACAAACCGGAGGAAGGUGGGGACGACGUCAGAUCAUCAUGCCCCUUAUGACCUGGGCUACACACGUGCUACAAUGGACGGUACAACGAGUCGCGAACUCGCGAGGGCAAGCAAAUCUCUUAAAACCGUUCUCAGUUCGGACUGCAGGCUGCAACUCGCCUGCACGAAGUCGGAAUCGCUAGUAAUCGCGGAUCAGCAUGCCGCGGUGAAUACGUUCCCGGGCCUUGUACACACCGCCCGUCACACCAUGAGAGUUUGUAACACCCAAAGUCGGUGGGGUAACCUUUUAGGAGCCAGCCGCCUAAGGUGGGACAGAUGAUUAGGGUGAAGUCG
rnacentral:rRNA from 2 species